AUGAACGCUAGCUACAGGCUUAACACAUGCAAGUCGAGGGGCAUCAGGGUGUAGCAAUACACCGCUGGCGACCGGCGCACGGGUGAGUAACACGUAUCCAACCUGCCCUUUACUCGGGGAUAGCCUUUCGAAAGAAAGAUUAAUACCCGAUGGCAUAACAUGACCUCCUGGUUUUGUUAUUAAAGAAUUUCGGUAGAGGAUGGGGAUGCGUUCCAUUAGGCAGUUGGCGGGGUAACGGCCCACCAAACCUUCGAUGGAUAGGGGUUCUGAGAGGAAGGUCCCCCACAUUGGAACUGAGACACGGUCCAAACUCCUACGGGAGGCAGCAGUGAGGAAUAUUGGUCAAUGGGCGAGAGCCUGAACCAGCCAAGUAGCGUGAAGGAUGACCGCCCUAUGGGUUGUAAACUUCUUUUAUAUGGGAAUAAAGGGUGCCACGUGUGGCAUUUUGUAUGUACCAUAUGAAUAAGGAUCGGCUAACUCCGUGCCAGCAGCCGCGGUAAUACGGAGGAUCCGAGCGUUAUCCGGAUUUAUUGGGUUUAAAGGGAGCGUAGGUGGACAUGUAAGUCAGUUGUGAAAGUUUGCGGCUCAACCGUAAAAUUGCAGUUGAUACUGCGUGUCUUGAGUACAGUAGAGGUGGGCGGAAUUCGUGGUGUAGCGGUGAAAUGCUUAGAUAUCACGAAGAACUCCGAUUGCGAAGGCAGCUCACUGGACUGCAACUGACACUGAUGCUCGAAAGUGUGGGUAUCAAACAGGAUUAGAUACCCUGGUAGUCCACACAGUAAACGAUGAAUACUCGCUGUUUGCGAUAUACAGUAAGCGGCCAAGCGAAAGCAUUAAGUAUUCCACCUGGGGAGUACGCCGGCAACGGUGAAACUCAAAGGAAUUGACGGGGGCCCGCACAAGCGGAGGAACAUGUGGUUUAAUUCGACGCAACGCGAAGAACCUUACCAAGUCUUGACAUCCCUUGACGAUGCUGGAAACAGUAUUUCUCUUCGGAGCAAGGAGACAGGUGGUGCAUGGUUGUCGUCAGCUCGUGCCGUGAGGUGUCGGCUUAAGUGCCAUAACGAGCGCAACCCUUAUCUUCAGUUACUAACAGGUUAUGCUGAGGACUCUGGAGAGACUGCCGUCGUAAGAUGUGAGGAAGGUGGGGAUGACGUCAAAUCAGCACGGCCCUUACGUCCGGGGCUACACACGUGUUACAAUGGGGGGUACAGAAGGCCGCUACACAGCGAUGUGAUGCCAAUCCCUAAAGCCCCUCUCAGUUCGGAUCGAAGUCUGCAACCCGACUUCGUGAAGCUGGAUUCGCUAGUAAUCGCGCAUCAGCCACGGCGCGGUGAAUACGUUCCCGGGCCUUGUACACACCGCCCGUCAAGCCAUGGGAGCCGGGGGUACCUGAAGUACGUAACCGCAAGGAGCGUCCUAGGGUAAAACUGGUGACUGGGGCU
rnacentral:rRNA from 1 species